UACCAGAGUCAGGGGCUUCCUUCAAUUUGGGAUUUGGGCCACUGCAAUUCCUCAUCUGUCCUCAGGGGGCACAGUGUGAGAUUCUGGUAUAACAAAAUGGGUCAUCAGGGAGUGGAGAUGCAGCGUCGGAACCAAGGUCAGAUGCGGCUGCAGCAAAUGAAGAUGCCAUGCAAAGGGCCUCAAGGUUUGCAAUUGGGUAAAAUGCUCAAUUUCAACCCACAGGUCAGGCUCGGUGAGCAGCUCUCCAGCUGUUUGUUCUGUAAUGGUUCCAGUGAACGAGAGGCACUGCGGUCCAAGAAAAUGUCCUGGAGCACCAGUGGGUUCUGGGCUGCUGGCUGAGGGCCACUUGGUAUGCUGUGCCACUGAGCUCUCAGCCGGAAUUUCACCUUGGCUACAUAUUCCUCUCUCAAUCCACUAAUUCCCCAGAAAGGAGACCGUGGACGCACCAUGCCCUUGAAGAACAAUAGAGGAACUGUGGGCUGGGUAUUUGGGGAGAUUCCUGCAGAGGAGGCCGUUGUUCAGGGACCUGGCCUCAUGAUCAGGAUGCGGGCUGUGCGAUUUUUCUCUGAGGAGCUCUAGAAGCCUUGAACCAUGGACUUCAUAGAAUCUUGACUUUUUAGCUAAGUCCACGUGAGAGGUUGCAAAUGAAUGGUCCGUAGGCUGAACACUACCUCCAGGAGUGUUUUGUUUAGCUUGCAUGGUGUUUAAACAUUUUUUGAGUAAGUCACCAACAUUUUAAGAUUGGGAGAUUAAAAAUUUUAGAUUUCUAAUGUCUCUUGAAAAAAAGCAAAGGAAAGAUCUGGCAAUGGCAUCACUGACAUCCCAUUCUUGCCACAGUCCGUCAGAAGCUGGAGAUUUACACUGGGCACCCAUUCCCUGGGCUUUCAUCCCACU
rnacentral:lncRNA from 1 species